AUGGAGUUGAGACAGAGCUGGGUUUUUCUUGUUAUUCUUUUAAAAGGUGUCCAGUGUGAGGUGCAGCAGGUGGAGUUUGGGGGAGGCUUAGUGCAGCCUGGAAAGUCCCUGAAACUCUCCUGUGCAGCCUCUGGAUUCACAUUCAGUGAUGCCUGGACGAACAGGGUCUGCCAGGCUCCAGGGAAGGAACUGGACUGGGUUGCUCAAAUUGAACCAAAAAGUUAUAAUUAUGCAACACACUGUGUGAAAGGCAAAUUCAUCAUCUCAAGAGAUGAUUCCCAAAGCAGCCUCUACCUGCAAAUGAACAGCUUAAGAGCCAAAGACACCUCCAUUUAUUACUGUAUUGCAGACACAGUGAGAGACCUUCAGUGA